GAGUUUGAUCUUGGCUCAGGAUGAACGCUAGCGGCAGGCUUAAUACAUGCAAGUCGUGGGGCAGCAUAGGGUAGCAAUACUCUGAUGGCGACCGGCAAACGGGUGCGGAACACGUACGCAACCUUCCUUUAACUGGAGAAUAGCCCCUCGAAAGAGGGAUUAAUACUCCGUAACAUGAUGAUAAGGCAUCUUAUUAUUAUUAUAGCUCCGGCGGUUAAAGAUGGGCGUGCGCCUGAUUAGGUAGUUGGCGGGGUAACGGCCCACCAAGCCUGCGAUCAGUAACUGGUGUGAGAGCACGACCAGUCACACGGGCACUGAGACACGGGCCCGACUCCUACGGGAGGCAGCAGUAAGGAAUAUUGGUCAAUGGACGCAAGUCUGAACCAGCCAUGCCGCGUGGAGGAUUAAGGCCCUCUGGGUUGUAAACUCCUUUUAUCUGGGAAGAAAUCCAUAUAUUCUUAUGUGGUUGACGGUACCAGAGGAAUAAGCACCGGCUAACUCCGUG
rnacentral:rRNA from 1 species